GAUGAACGCUGGCAGUGUGCUAAACAUGCAAGUCGAACGGUUCUGAGGUUAGAGGCUGGAGGCCAAGUGAAUUAGCCUGCAGUCUCUAAUUUCAGGAUAGUGGCGAACGGGUGAGUAACGCGUAAGUAACCUACCCCCAAGACGGGGAUAACAUUCCGAAAGGGAUGCUAAUACCCGAUGAGGUUAAGUAACUGAGAUGUCAUAUAACCAAAGGGAAGCGAAAGCGACCGCUUGGGGAUGGGCUUGCGUCCCAUCAGCUAGUUGGUAGGGUAAGAGCCUACCAAGGCAAAGACGGGUAGCUGGCCUGAGAGGGUGGUCAGCCACACUGGGACUGAGACACGGCCCAGACUCCUACGGGAGGCAGCAGUUAGGGAUCUUCCGCAAUGGGCGAAAGCCUGACGGAGCGACACUGCGUGAGGGAAGGAGUCCUUCGGGAUGUAAACCUCUGUCAAGAGGGGAAGAAACAGACGGUACCCUCAAAGGAAGCCCCGGCUAACUACGUG
rnacentral:rRNA from 1 species